rnacentral:rRNA from 1 species
GUAGGGUCCAAGCGUUGUCCGGAUUUAUUGGGCGUAAAGAGCUCGUAGGUGGUUCGCUAAGUCGGAUGUGAAAACUCGGGGCUCAACCCCGAGACGCCAUCCGAUACUGGCGUGACUUGAGUCUGGUAGGGGAGAUCGGAAUUCCUGGUGUAGCGGUGAAAUGCGCAGAUAUCAGGAGGAACACCGGUGGCGAAGGCGGAUCUCUGGGCCAGUACUGACACUGAGGAGCGAAAGCGUGGGUAGCAAACAGGAUUAGAUACCCUGGUAGUCCACGCCGUAAACGUUGGGCACUAGGUGUGGGUUCCUAUCGACGGAAUCCGUGCCGUAGCUAACGCAUUAAGUGCCCCGCCUGGGGAGUACGGCCGCAAGG